AUACCUUUCUCGGCCUUUUGGCUAAGAUCAAGUGUAGUAUCUGUUCUUAUCAGUUUAAUAUCUGAUAUGUGAACCAAUAAUGGCUCACACGAUAUUAACUCAAUUUUUUUAAGGUAAAGAUUCACUGAUGUAGCUUGCUGCUUGGGUCUUUGAGUGUCGCCUUGGCUUUGCACUAUUGCCUUUGCCUGGCACACCCCAC
rfam:Ipomoea nil DNA, scaffold: scaffold1848, cultivar: Tokyo-kokei standard.